CACUUAACAGAAGCUUAUGUUCUCACAGUUCUAGAAUCUGGAAGUCCAAGAUUGAGGUGUCAGCAGGCGUUACCAGGUGCUGUGGUCUUUGCGCUCUACAGUCUGGGACGUGGCCCUGGUGAACAUAGUCAGGAUGCCUGAGACUCACAUGAGACAUGGGCCUCCACCUGCCGUGCUCUCCAUCCUUUGAAAGGAUCCCAUGGAUAAAGUGGGAACAGAGGGACAGAAUCCAGCAGUCUCCAUGAAUUGCUUGGCCGGAAAAGGAAGCAUCUCCUUCCAGAAGUGGGGAUUGUACCAUCACUCCUACCUACCUCAGAGGAACUUUAAGACAGAUA